ensembl:snRNA U6 U6 spliceosomal RNA
AUGCUCAUUUUGGUAGUACCCCUACUAAAACUAUAGUGACACAGAGAAGACUCACAUGGUCCCUGUACAAGGAUGACUGACAAAUUUGUGAAGCAUUCCAUACUUUU